rnacentral:rRNA from 1 species
UACAGAGGUCCCGAGCGUUGUUCGGAUUCACUGGGCGUAAAGGGUGCGUAGGUGGCCUGAAAAGUUUGAUGUGAAAGCUCAGGGCUUAACCCUGAAAUGGCAUUGAAUACUGUCGGGCUGGAGGUUUGGAGGGGGGACUGGAAUUCUUGGUGUAGCAGUGAAAUGCGUAGAUAUCAAGAGGAACACCAGUGGCGAAGGCGAGUCCCUGGACAACACCUGACACUGGAGGCACGAAAGCUAGGGGAGCAAACAGG